rnacentral:misc_RNA from 1 species
ACCACCACCACCAACACCAACACCAACAACACAACGAACCACCACACACUAUCAUGGUUCGGCAUGGCCAUCACCAUGCAAUACCCAUGGUGGGUAGCUGCGCGGUCGGUUGUGUACGGUGAAUUACGUAAUUGAGGCGACGAGAGGACCCGUGUCGACGUUCCUGCUUCAGCGUCGACUGCCUCCGACUGUGACGAGCCACCGCGCAACUUUCCUAAAGCCGAUAGAUUCUCCAACCGAAACUUUCUACUUUAAAAGGAUCCAGCGAUAGUAAGAAUCGACGGAUAAUUGGGCAGGCGUAAUCAGCACGCCUUGUUGCUUCUCUUUCGAAUAUAUCGGUGAACCUUAGGAUUGCUGGUUGUCGUAGAAUGUUGAAAUGUUUGGGCAAAGUCGAAUAUAGUAAGUCAGGUGCAGUUUCG